UGGCUCAGAGGGUAAAGCGUCUGCCUGCAAUGUGGGAGACCCAGGUUCGAUUCCUGG
rnacentral:tRNA from 1 species